rnacentral:rRNA from 1 species
CGGGGCCUAUCAGGCUUGUUGGUGGGGUAAUGGCCCACCAAGGCGACGACGGGUAGCUGGCGUGAGAGCGUGGCCAGCCACACUGGGACUGAGACACGGCCCAGACUCCUACGGGAGGCAGCAGUGGGGAAUCUUGGGCAAUGGCGAAAGCCUGACCCAGCGACGCCGCGUGGGGGAAGAAGGCCCUCGGGUUGUAAACCCCUUUCGGCAGGGACGAAGCGAAAGUGACGGUACCUGCAGAAGAAGCCCCGGCCAACUACGUGCCAGCAGCCGCGGUAAGACGUAGGGGGCGAGCGUUACCCGGAUUCACUGGGCGUAAAGCGCGCGCAGGCGGCCACGUAAGUCGGAUGUGAAAUCCCACGGCUCAACCGUGGAACUGCACCCGAUACUGCGUGGCUAGAGGCAGGUAGGGGCGAGCGGAAUUCCCGGUGUAGCGGUGAAAUGCGCAGAUAUCGGGAGGAACACCGGUGGCGAAGGCGGCUCGCUGGGCCUGUCCUGACGCUCAGGCGCGAAAGCUGGGGGAGCGAACAGGAUUAGAUACCCUGGUAGUCCCAGCCGUAAACGUUGGGUGCUAGGUGUGGGGGGACAUCGACCCCUUCCGUGCCGAAGCUAACGCAUUAAGCACCCCGCCUGGGGAGUACGG